rnacentral:rRNA from 1 species
GAUGAACGCUGGCGGCGUGCCUAAUACAUGCAAGUCGAGCGAACAGACGAGGAGCUUGCUCCUCUGACGUUAGCGGCGGACGGGUGAGUAACACGUGGAUAACCUACCUAUAAGACUGGGAUAACUUCGGGAAACCGGAGCUAAUACCGGAUAAUAUAUUGAACCGCAUGGUUCAAUAGUGAAAGACGGUUUUGCUGUCACUUAUAGAUGGAUCCGCGCCGCAUUAGCUAGUUGGUAAGGUAACGGCUUACCAAGGCAACGAUGCGUAGCCGACCUGAGAGGGUGAUCGGCCACACUGGAACUGAGACACGGUCCAGACUCCUACGGGAGGCAGCAGUAGGGAAUCUUCCACAAUGGGCGAAAGCCUGACGGAGCAACGCCGCGUGAGUGAUGAAGGUCUUCGGAUCGUAAAACUCUGUUAUUAGGGAAGAACAAAUGUGUAAGUAACUAUGCACGUCUUGACGGUACCUAAGCAGAAAGCCACGGCUAACUACGU